CGCUGGGGGGGGACUGGGGUCCCUCCCCCGAGGCUCCUUGACCUGCCCUGCCAGGGAGGUGCUGCUGCCGCUGCCUGCUGGCCUGGCACAGGUGGCACUGAGGGCGCUGGGCCCAGGCCUGCAGCCCCAGCCCGGCCCGGGGGGAGGCCUCAGCAGCGCCCCCAGGCCAGGCUGCAGUGCUGCGGGGACAAGCUGAGGGCCUGAGUGGGCACUGGGGGGCGCUGGGCGGGGACGGGGAGGGGCUGGGGGAUUAGUGGGGGCAUACAAGGAGGUGAGUGGGGGUCUCUGGGAGGCCAGUGGGCGGGUCUGCGGGUCCCUGGGAGGGUCUGGGGGUCCCUGGGAGGGUCUGGGGGUCCCUGAGCCCUCCCCCUGCAGGCUCUGGGUCUCCCGGGGGGCUGGAGGCCUGCGGGGGGAGGUCUCCUCCUUCCUGGAGCUGCUGGGGCUGUGCUGGAGACCAUCGAGCACUUCGGAGGGGCAGGGGCAGGCCCCGCCCACGCCAGAGGAUGCACCAAUCAGCUGCUGACCCUCCCCGUCCUAACCAGUCUUCCCCCCCCCCCCAAUAAAGCACCAAACUCUGCCAGGUGGACCCUGCCUUCAUUUAUGCAAAUGAGGGGGCGGGGCACAGGGGUGACCAUGCCCACAGCCCCCACAGGAUCCACCAAUCAGCUGCUGACCCUCCCGGUAACCCCUCCCCAACCCCCAACCCAUCUCCAAGGUACUCAAAGGCAGAGCCUGAUAUUGAAAUGUAUACAAAUGAGGGAGGCAGAACAAGUGGCAAACCACGCCCAUCACAAUCCACCAAUCAGCAGCCACCUCCUGAACUCCUCCUCCAAAGGAAGCUCCAAAUCUGUCACCAUAUAAUUAGUUACUGUGGGGCGGGGGCGGGGCUAUGGAAAGGGGUGUGGCUAUGCAAAUAAAGAGGCAGCAACCAGAGCCAGGCAAGAAAGGCCAGGGAGGGGGCGUGGCUCCGCAGCCCGGGGGGCGUGGCUCCGCCAGCCCACUCCUCCCGCAGCAGCAGACCCCUGCAGAGCCCUGCAGUGCCCUAGAGACAUCUCCAGACUCCUGCAGACAACUUCAGACCUUUCCAAGGGCUCUGCAGACCCUUACAGACCCCUGCAAACUCUUCACACCCCUAAGACCUCUACACACAGCCGCAGCCUCCUCUGCAGAGCCCUGCAGCCCCCUCCACACCUUCAAUGGAUUCCUGCAGACACUUAACAGAUGCCUGACAGAGCUCCACAGACCCCUGCAGACCUUUACAAGAUGCCUGCAGACACCUGCGGGCCCAGAACAGAAACCUCCACACACCUGCUGAAUGCUACAGACACUUGCACACCCCUCCAGCCUCCUAGAGACCUCUAGGGACCCCUCCCGACCUUUCCAUAGAGCCCUGCAGACCCCUGCAUGUCUUUAAGAGGCCCCUAGAGACCCCCACAGACCUCUACAGACUGCCAGAGAACCCUGCAGACCCCUACAGACACCUCGAGACCUUUGCAAGGCACCUCAAGACCUUCACAGCCUUUUGAGACACCUACAGCACCACAGACACCUCUACAGACCCCUAACCACCUCCACAGACACCCAGAGAGCUCCACAGACACCCAGAGAGCCCUCCAGGCCCCUAAGGGUACCUACAGAUGCCUCCAGACCCCCGCACACCUCUGCACACUCAGAAAAGCCUCCAGGCCUUUUAGAAGACCCCUGCAGACACCUACAGACCUGGGCAGACUCCUACAGCUGCUUGCACACCCCUGCAGACACCGACAGGCUCCUCCUGGCCUGCAAGCUCACACCAUGUGCUCGCACUCAGCUUCUCCCCAGCACCCCCAGGGCUGCUCUUUAUCGCCUCCGCCCCCAGCCCGCAGGCACAGGCAGGCUUCCUCCCGCCCACACGCAGCACCCUGCCCUUGCUCUCCUGGAACCUCACAAGCUUCGCCUGGGCCCAGCUCCCCUGCCUGCCCAGGUGUUUCCUGGAUGCCAUCCUGCCCCUCGGCUUGCUCUCCAGCACCACUCAGCUUGGGGCCACCUGCAAACACGCUGCCAGUGCACCUCUAUCUCAUUUGGGACAGUCACACUCUAGAGACACUGGACAAAAGUGUCCUGGAGCCAAAGAACUCCUUCACUGAAUGCAGACACCUACAGACCCCUCCACACCUUUAACAGACCACUGCAGCCCACUGCAGAACUCUGUAGAGCCCUCCAGACCUCCACAGACCCAUUAAAAGGCACCUCCAGACCCAGGCAGACCUCUACAGAGAACUAACAGAGCCCUGCAAAUCCCUACAGGCAUCUACGGACCCCUGCAGCUGCCUGCAAACACAUACAGACCCCUACAGAGCUCCCCACACCCAUCCAGACCCCUCCAGAUAUUUAACAGACCCCUGCACACAUCUACAGACCCCUCCAGAGCCUUCAAUGAUGCCUGCAGGCACCUACAGACCCACACAGAAAUCUCCAAACACCUACUCAACUCUACAGACCUCUGCAGACUCUCUCAGACCCUGACAAAUAGCUACAGACCCCUUCACACCUCUGCAGACACCCACACUCACCUACACACCACCACAGACAUGGACAAAGCUCAACAGGCACCUGCAGACCCCUCCACACCUUUAAAAGCUGCCCAGAGACUCCUACAGAACCCUGCCAAAAUCUACAGACCCUGCCAGAGCUCUACAGACCCCUCCAGACAUUUGAAAGGUGCCUGCAGACCUCCACACCCCCCUAGAGACAGCUGCAGGCACCCACAUUCCUCUACAAAGCUCUAGAGACCUCUACAGACAGCUACAGACCCCUCCAGACAUUUGAGAGGUGCCUGCAGACCCCUGCAGCACCCUAGAGACAUCUACAGACAACUUCAGACCUUUCAAAGGGGUCUGCAGACCCUUAGAGAUCCCUGCAAAUUCUUCACACCCCUCCACUAACUCUAACCUGUCAGCACCUCCCAGCAGCAGGGAACAGAGAGAAGCACUCCACAGCCGUUUGCACGAGAGGCUUUCUGCUCAUCCAGCUGCUCUGUUAGCAUCUGCAUGGGACAGAAUCUUCAGCUACUAGGUCAGAGCUCUGACUGAGCAAUCUCCUUUUCAACCCUUCCCUCCUGGCAGACACAGACAAACCCUACCUGGAGCCCACAGGAGCCGAGCCAAAGGAGAUCACCCUGCCAGGCUGCAGGGCCAGGCUGCAGCGGCACCAGCGUCCGUGCUGACGGAUUCACCGCAGCAGCUGGGGCCCUCGUGCCCAUCCUGCUGCUGCUGCACAUCUGGCUGGCUUGGCCAGUGGAGUGGAAAGCAAAGUGCAAACCUGCCAAGAGUGAAACAACCAAGGACAAAGCUCAGUUACUCACACUGUGAAGGUGAGGGCACGCUCCUAUGCCCCCAGUAAAAACACUGCCAAAGCAUUUCAUUUUCCACUGCCAUGCACUGACCUUGCAGAGCUCUGAGCUGAUCCCACUCCAACACUCCACCUCCAGUGCACACAGUCAGCUCUGACUGCAGGGUGCUGCCAUGUGGGCCAUGCACACACAGGAGGGACGCCUGGCCCCCAGCACUGCCCAGCAGACAUGCUCCUGAGCUGCCAGGGACACGUACCAGUGACAGCCAGACAGAAAUAAAGCACGUCAGAGCACCCCACCAGAAGAUGGGAAAGACAA